rnacentral:rRNA from 1 species
CUAAUACCGGAUAUGACCACGUUGGGCAUCUGAUCGUGGUGGAAAGUUUUUUCGGUUGGGGGUGGGCUCGCGGCCUAUCAGCUUGUUGGUGGGGUGAUGGCCUACCAAGGCGACGACGGGUAGCCGGCCUGAGAGGGCGACCGGCCACACUGGGACUGAGACACGGCCCAGACUCCUACGGGAGGCAGCAGUGGGGAAUAUUGCGCAAUGGGCGGAAGCCUGACGCAGCGACGCCGCGUGGGGGAUGACGGCCUUCGGGUUGUAAACCUCUUUCACCAUUGGCGAAGGCCCGUUUUUUGCGGGUUGACGGUAGGUGGGGAAGAAGCGCCGGCUAACUACGUGCCAGCAGCCGCGGUAAUACGUAGGGCGCAAGCGUUGUCCGGAUUUAUUGGGCGUAAAGAGCUCGUAGGUGGUUUGUCGCGUCUGUCGUGAAAGCCCAUGGCUUAACUGUGGGUUUGCGGUGGAUACGGGCUGACUAGAGGCAGGUAGGGGAGAGUGGAAUUCCCGGUGUAGCGGUGAAAUGCGCAGAUAUCGGGAGGAACACCGGUGGCGAAGGCGGCUCUCUGGGCCUGUCCUGACGCUGAGGAGCGAAAGCGUGGGUAGCGAACA